AAUCCUGAUUUGUUUGUUCAUUGAUAAAUCUGAAGAAUUCGCCGUAAUCUGAAGAAUUCGUCUCCAUUUUUCUGAUCCAAACUCGUUUCCGCCUCCCAGAUCUCCCUCUCACAAAUGACGACAUCGCGGCGUCUUGCGGAUCGGAAGGUGGAGAGGUUCGAGAAGAACAUUUUGAAGAGAGGGGCUGUGCCUGAGACUGCUACAAAGAAGGGAAAGGACUACCCUGUUGGCCCUAUUCUUCUUGGAUUCUUCGUUUUUGUCGUAAUUGGAUCAUCUCUGUUUCAGAUAAUCAGGACGGCAACAGGUGGAGGAAUGGCAUGAGCCAUCUUCAGUUCUGAUGAGAGGGGUAGCAGAAGAGGCAGUACGCCAGUACAUGAGGUUAAAACUUCUUGAGUUAUUUGUUUGUACUCUGUUCUGUGUCUGUGCUACCCUCUAGGAGAAGUUUGGUAGUGUAGAAAGAAAGUAAAGACCAUUAUGGUCAUCCUGUGAAGUACUCUUAUUAAAAAGUUAAUUUAAAUAACAAUGCACAUGCCUAAGUGCUAUGCUAUCCUAUAUCUAAUUUUGUUCAUUGUUUAU
rnacentral:misc_RNA from 1 species